UCAACAACGGUGACGAAGAUAGGCCUAGCCCGGAAACCCUCAGAGAGCCGAUGGUAGCUGCGAAUCGGUGGUUCCGCACUAGGAUGAGCACUUCCGAGUUGUUGCGCUGAACCGAUAUCCCGGGUAUCGCAGUAGGCGCGAACGGUAGAUCCGUUAUCUCUCAGGUCUUGUACCUGCCAAGGUCUUUCUUUGCGAGAAGAAGGACAAAUGAGGGUGGCACCGCGAAGCAUAGCCUCUCGUCCCUCAC
rnacentral:ncRNA from 1 species